rnacentral:rRNA from 1 species
UAGCGAAAUUCCUUGUCGGGUAAGUUCCGACCCGCACGAAAGGCGUAAUGAUUUGAGCACUGUCUCGACAAUACAUCCGGUGAAAUUGAAGUACCAGUGAAGAUGCUGGUUACCCGCGCCAGGACGGAAAGACCCCAUGGAGCUUUACUCCAGUUUGGUACUGGGAUUCGGUACUGCACGUACAGGAUAGGUGGGAGACUUUGAAACUUGAACGCCAGUUUGAGUGGAGUCGCUGUUGGGAUACCACCCCUGCAGUAUUGGAUUUCUAACCAGUCACCGUGAUCCGGUGAUGGGACAAUGCCAGGCGGGGAGUUUGACUGGGGCGGUCGCCUCCGAAAGGGUAUCGGAGGCGCUCAAAGGUUCCCUCAGAAUGGUUGGAAACCAUUCGAAGAGUGCAAAGGCAGAAGGGAGCUUGACUGCGACACCGACGGGUGGAGCAGGUACGAAAGUAGGACUUAGUGAUCCGGUGGUAUAAAGUGGGAUUGCCAUCGCUCAACGGAUAAAAGCUACCCUGGGGAUAACAGGCUUAUCACUCCCAAGAGUUCACAUCGACGGAGUGGUUUGGCACCUCGAUGUCGGCUCAUCGCAUCCUGGGGCUGUAGUAGGUCCCAAGGGUUGGGCUGUUCGCCCAUUAAAGCGGUACGCGAGCUGGGUUCAGAACGUCGUGAGACAGUUCGGUCCCUAUCCGGCGCGGGCGGAGGAUAUCAGAGAGGAGCUGUCCUUAGUACGAGAGGACCGGGAUGGACGGACCGCUGGUGCAUCUGUUGGAUACCAGAUCCAUGGCAGAGUAGCCAAGUCCGGCAGGGAUAAACGCUGAAGGCAUCUAAGCGUGAAGCCCCCCUCAGGAUGAGAUAUCCCAUUCAUUAAGAAUGUAAGACCCCUUAGAGACUAUGAGGUAGAUAGGGCAUGGGUGUAAGUGCAGAGAUGCACUGAGCUGAAUGUCACUAAUAGGUCGAGGGCUUAUCCGG